GGGAAGGUUUAAAAGCUAGUAUAAAUACACUGUCAUUAUUGAUGAUAAUUCACUAGCUCAAAAAAGAGAAGAUCGGAAAUGCUGUUUAUCGUGGCAAUAAUCCUGUUGGGUCCACAGCACCAAGGUUUUGUCAGCUGGUACCAAGAGAUGUUCCUCGUGCAACGUAUCUAAUUCGUUCGAUCCCCUUUCCUUUACUAAACGUGGAAGGAUAUAUGGUACUCUUGUUUUGUGGGUGCCAAAAAACCCGAAAUCGUAGGUGAUAUUUUACCCGACAUCAGAAAAGGUCAUGAGACAAGAUACCUGAACUGCACAGUAAUUAAUAAAGGUCCAGGUCAAAAGGUACUAUGGAUGGAUGUUGGGAGCCCUGAAACACAUCCAACAAUGUUCAUAAGCGAGGAUGACUCCGUGUAUGAAGGUAUACGGUUUAAAUAUGAUAUACAGGUUCACAGAGAUGGAGUGAAAACAACCUACAUGCUUGUGGUACGCUACUUAGACUUUGUGGAU